rnacentral:tRNA from 1 species
GGGCCAGUAGCCCAAUGGCAGAGGCAAGGGACUUAAAAUCCCUCAAGUGCGGGUUCGACUCCCGCCUGGCCUA